UACGUAGGGGGCUAGCGUUGUCCGGAAUCAUUGGGUUUAAAGGGAGCGUAGGCGGAUUGGUAAGUCAGUGGUGAAAUCUGUGGGCUUAACCCACAAACUGCCAUUGAUACUGCUGAUCUAGAGUACAGUUGCCGUUGGCGGAAUAUGACAUGUAGUGGUGAAAUACUUAGAUAUGUCAUAGAACACCUAUUGCGAAGGCAGCUAACGAAGCUGUAACUGACGCUGAGGCUCGAAGGUGCGGGGAUCAAACAGG
rnacentral:rRNA from 1 species